rnacentral:rRNA from 1 species
GGGGGCCCGCACAAGCAGCGGAGCAUGUGGUUUAAUUCGACGCAACGCGAAGAACCUUACCUGGGCUUGACAUGUGAGUGACCGCCGUGGAAACACGGCUUUCCUUCGGGACACUUUCACAGGUGGUGCAUGGCUGUCGUCAGCUCGUGUCGUGAGAUGUUGGGUUAAGUCCCGCAACGAGCGCAACCCCCGUCGUAUGUUGCCAGCAUUUAGUUGGGGACUCAUGCGAGACUGCCGGUGACAAACCGGAGGAAGGUGGGGAUGACGUCAAGUCCUCAUGCCCCUUAUGUCCAGGGCUACACACGUGCUACAUUGGCGCGUACAGAGGGCUGCGAUACCGCGAGGUGGAGCGAAUCCCUCAAAGCGCGUCUCGGUUCGGAUUGCAGGCUGAAACCCGCCUGCAUGAAGGCGGAGUUGCUAGUAAUCGCGGAUCAGCACUGCCGCGGUGAAUACGUUCCCGGGUCUUGUACACACCGCCCGUCACACCACGGGAAUUGGCAACGCCCGAAGCCGGUGGUCCAACCCGCAAGGGANGAAGCCGUCGAAGGUGGGGCCAGUGACUGGGGUGAA